AGCGAACGCUGGCGGCAGGCUUAACACAUGCAAGUCGAACGGGCAUCCUUCGGGAUGUCAGUGGCAGACGGGUGAGUAACACGUGGGAACGUGCCCUUCGGUUCGGAAUAACUCAGGGAAACUUGAGCUAAUACCGGAUACGCCUACGGGAAAGGUUACUGCCGAAGGAUCGGCCCGCGUCUGAUUAGCUAGUUGGUGGGGUAAUGGCCUACCAAGGCGACGAUCAGUAGCUGGUCNGAGAGGAUGAUCAGCCACACUGGGACUGAGACACGGCCCAGACUCCUACGGGAGGCAGCAGUGGGGAAUAUUGGACAAUGGGCGAAAGCCUGAUCCAGCCAUGCCGCGUGAGUGAUGAAGGCCUU
rnacentral:rRNA from 1 species